GUGAAUCAUCGAAUCUUUGAACGCACAUUGCGCCCGCUAGUAUUCUAGCAGGCAUGCCUGUUCGAGCGUCAUUUCAACCCUCAGGCCCCGCCUGGUGAUGGGGACCGCCGCGGCGGCCCUGAAUAGCAGCGGCGGGCUCUGCUGUACCCGAGCGUAGUAAUGCUCUCGCUUAGGGGAAAGGCAGGCGCCCAGCCCAACCAAUAACGUACCUCUGGUUGACCUCGGAUCAGGUAGGAAUACCCGCUGAACUUAAGCAUAUCAAUAAGCGGAGGA
rnacentral:misc_RNA from 1 species